GACAGAGGGUGCAAACGUUGCUCGGAAUUACUGGGCGUAAAGGGCGUGUAGGCGGGAAGGCAAGUCGGGCGUGAAAGCCCCAGGCUCAACCUGGGAACUGCACUCGAAACUGCCUUUCUUGAGUGCCGGAGAGGAAAGCGGAAUUCCUGGUGUAGAGGUGAAAUUCGUAGAUAUCAGGAGGAACACCAGUGGCGAAGGCGGCUUUCUGGACGGUAACUGACGCUGAGACGCGAAAGCGUGGGGAGCAAACGGG
rnacentral:rRNA from 1 species